UUCGUAUACAUUUCAAAUGUGAAUUAUUAAAAAAAAUAUGCUGGCACCACCCAUAGUCACUGGCCGACAAAAUCUCAGCACUGUGUCACCCAUUUAACAUGUUAUUUUAUAUGCCCUGUGUUGGAAUGUAAAAUAAAAUAAGGCCCUAAAUAAAAGCUUGCUUCAGCCUGAAACUUAAGUGUGUUGGUUAGGUAAAAUUUUAAAAUUUAACAAAUUUUACCUUCAAAUUAACUCAUAGAACACAUCUUUUUAACAGGCCCUCUGGUGAGUGGUGAAAAAACAGUAACACUUUACUCUUUGCAUGCAUCUUUACUAAUCAAAUUCAUUCAAUACUUACCUACUAGAAAUAAUUAUUUUAAUAAGUCUGGUUAAGUUAGUUAUUUUUUUCUGUAUACAAAUGUUACAGCUUUAUUUGUUUUAAUCUACUUAUGGAUUGUAGGCUACUGUAACUUAAAAUUGACUAAAAUACAGCCACAAUUUUAACUAGAAAUGUUGGCAUUCAUUCUUAUAAUCCCACCAAGAUGCCUUAACCUAUUAAGGAUAACUUAGACUAUCUGGGUGAGGUUUUAAUUACCUUAAUUACCACUGUGUUGCCGAUGACAGAUGAUUUGGAUAGGGGUCCUCCAAACAAUUGACCUUUAAUGAACGACAAGAUAUCUUAUUGUAAUUAUGUUUAUCUUAAUUAUGUGAGUGUGAGUCAAUUAAGCAAAUUUGGUUAGAUAUUGUAUUGAAUUUGGAUGCAAAGAAACGUAGCCUACAAUAAAGGAAAUGGGAUCCACUUUUACAAAUUUCUAUUAACUCGCCCAAAGCUGUUGAAAUCCUGGGAAAAGGCUGUCAAAAGAAAAAAAUCUGAAAGAAACUGUUUAGUAUUGAUUCUUUGCAGUAAACAUUUAUCUGAUGAUGAAGUUUAAGUUAGAUAAGACUUGGAGCACUUGUCAAGCUCCUUAAAGAUGACGCUGAACUCACCGAUUAUGUAGGUACAGCAGUUCAGAAAAAAAAAACACCGCCGUGGACAACUUUUCUAUGGAUAGCCUGAUAUUGUUGAGACUCCAAUUGAACCCAUGGAGAUUAAGACUCCAAGACAAAGCACAGGGAAAAUCAAACGGAAAUCAACCAAAUCCACCACAGCAAACACACUCAAAUUGAUAGUUCAGUUUCUCCAAUGAAAAAACUCCAAAUGUAAUGACCUAAGACUUGGACAAAAGAAGAAUCACUUUGUUUUUGUGAAAUGUUUAAAUACACUGUAU